rnacentral:lncRNA from 1 species
UGAAGGAGAGGGGCGUCCAGGAGUGCAGGAAGCAAACUGGUUGCCUGGAGUGCAGGAGGGACAGGUGGUUCGCGCGGUGCAGGAGACGUUCCUGGACCGGAAGGGGUCCCAGCAGGGAGCGGUGCCCCCAGGGCGCCCCGGGACCCGUAGGCGCAGACGGAGGAGGAGGUGGUAGCCAGGCUUCCCCCGACCUUACCUCGGGCAGCGCGGGAUAUAGGGGCGCGGGGGCGUGGGCAGCUGCGAACUAAACGCUGCUAUAAGCUGCCGCCGGAGGACAGGCAGUGGCCUGCGGGAUCCUCUUCUGCUACCUCGGCCUGGGCUUCACAGCAGCUGAAAGCAGCUGAAAGCGGAAGCCCCCGGCUCACCCCGCCUCAGACCAGGCUGACUUGAAGGCGUGAGGUUCCCAGGUCCACUUCCCUCGGGGACACGGCCCAAGAGGAACCGGCCUUGGUGCAGACGCUUGGCCCUGGGCACAGAGGGCUAAGCAGACACUGCUGCUGCGUGGGCAAGUGCAGGAGUGGGCAUGUGCAGGAGUCGCCAGUCUGAAGUCAGGGAGGGUGAGCUGGCCCACGCUCCAGGCGCACAGCCGGCACUGUCCCAGGGAGGUCAAGACCAGGAGUGGCAUCUGGGGGACUCUGGGGACAGACUUCAGCCAGCCUCCCUCUGGAUAGAGCAUACAGCUCAGGAGUGGGGGCCCUUGCUUGGCCACUUCCUGGCCCGUGGCCCCACUGACCUCUCAGGGUGGUCAGCUCUGCGGAGAUGCCAGCAGCUCGCCGCUUCCCCGGCCUGGAGCUGUCGUUCCCUCUCCUGGCCAGGCUGCGGAGGCGGCUGUACACAGUGAGUGGGGCUGGCGCCGGUCACUGAGGACAGAGGGACGACGGGGUGGCUGAGGGCACCUCGAGGCUGGGCUUGACUCAGGCCAGAGUGGCCUUUCUGUUCCAGCCACCUGUUGGUUCUCAUUAGUGUGUGUGUUAGAAAGUGUGUUCGGGAGCUGUUCAUGUGGGCACGUUCAUGUGUCGGACACAAGUGUGCAGACACUGCGCACUCGGGGCUGGAGACUGAGCCUAGGGAGGCUGCAGCUGGGUGUGCAUUUUGCAGAAGGGAAGUUCAGGGAGGAGGGACCUGUCCCAUCUCAGUGUCCUUCCCAUCUUCCCACAUACCCCUCGCAGCAGCCCUGUUCUGUGGUUGGGGAGCAGGGAGGGCCUGGGCUAAGUAGCUUCAGGGGAGGGGCCUCUGGGUAGCCCCCAGCGCUGGCCACCAGGGCAUGGCUUGGAGCUGCUUGUGAGCGCCCAGAGCAGGACAGGCUUGAGAGCCCCGGGCUGGUCACAGAGAGGGAGACGUCGGGUCCUGUACUCUGCUUGCCUUGGUGGGGGAUUAGGGCCCCCAUCUUGGCUAUACCCCCGUAGCCAGCAGGGUCCCCUUGCUGCAAGACAGGGGACUGGUAGUGGAAAUGCUGGCUGGCUCCACCUGCCCAGCCAUGAGCUUCACAGUGCACCUCUGAGCUUUAUUCUGGG